rnacentral:rRNA from 1 species
UACGUAGGGGGCUAGCGUUGUCCGGAAUCAUUGGGCGUAAAGAGCGUGUAGGCGGUCCGGUAAGUCCGCUGUGAAAGUCGGGGGCUCAACCCUGGAACGCCGGUGGAUACUGUCGGGCUAGAGUCCGGAAGAGGCGAGUGGAAUUCCUGGUGUAGCGGUGGAAUGCGCAGAUAUCAGGAGGAACACCGAUGGCGAAGGCAGCUCGCUGGGACGGUACUGACGCUGAGGCGCGAAAGCGUGGGGAGCGAACAGG